rnacentral:lncRNA from 1 species
GCAGAGAUCAUUCCACUCGAGGGGAUUGAGUUUGGGAAGAGUGGGAUAGUUGGUCCAAUGAGCAAAUUAUACCAUAGGUUGUUAUACCAAUAAGCAAUUUGAGUAAGGAUAUUAGGGGUGUUAGGAAAGUCAAGAUGAUUAUCAGUUUGGAUAAGAUGGACCCAGUUCCUCUUACAGUAUUUGCGACUUGGUGGAAAUUUUGGUAUUUAUGUCAUUGGUAAGGGACCAUUAGGUUUGGACUCUAACCCACCAUUUAGUGUAAAGUUAUUUAUGCAAGGCAACAACUUUAUUGUAGUUGCAAUGGAGGGAGAUCAUUUUAGAGUUGAUGAGUAACCCAACUGCAUCUCCUUUUUCUAGAUAAGCAAUGAUUGUUUUAAUGUUGAGGUUCAAUUGGGUGCUCGCCUAAGCGCCCAAGCGAGCGACGCGAGGCCCAACUUUAUUGUGCUUGGCCAAGGCACGUGCUUGAGCCCAAGCGCCCUCCUGAUUCGAUUGAUGUGUGGGUCUAUUAGGUUCCUUGAUUCUGGUUUAAUCAAACCACCUAGCCCGCAUAGUUCAAUUGAUGCAUUCAUCGAGCCUAAAUGUAUGAGGUUCCAUGAUUCUGGUUUGAUUGUAUCAGAGUCAACAUCUCUUAACCCCCACACAACCCUACAUGCAUGAGCCCCUACCCCCUUCAGAAACCUAAUCGUGGCGGUGUUGGUGUCUUUCUCUCCAAUGAACAACGAUGACGGUGACAUCUCCCUCUCUAGUGAGCAAUGACAUCGUCGUCUUUCUUCGACGGGCUCUUCCCCUCUCUCUAUCUAUCUCCUCUUCAUCGUUCAUUGUCACCCCUCCUUGGACCACCCCACAUCUCUCGUGAUUUCACAAGAUCUUCC